UACGUAGGGAGCAAGCGUUGUUCGGAAUUACUGGGCGUAAAGGGCUCGUAGGCGGCCAACUAAGUCAGACGUGAAAUCCCUCGGCUUAACCGGGGAACGGCCUCUGAUACUGGCUGGCUGGAGUUCGGGAGAGGGAUGCGGAAUUCCUGGUGUAGCGGUGAAAUGCGCAGAUAUCAGGAGGAACACCGAUGGCGAAGGCAGUGGUCUGGGCCGGCACUGACGCUGAAUAGCGAAAGCGUGGGUAGCGAACAGG
rnacentral:rRNA from 1 species